rnacentral:rRNA from 1 species
AUUGAACGCUGGCGGCAGGCCUAACACAUGCAAGUCGAGCGGAUGAAGGGAGCUUGCUCCUGGAUUCAGCGGCGGACGGGUGAGUAAUGCCUAGGAAUCUGCCUGGUAGUGGGGGAUAACGUCCGGAAACGGGCGCUAAUACCCCAUACGUCCUGAGGGAGAAAGUGGGGGAUCUUCGGACCUCACGCUAUCAGAUGAGCCUAGGUCGGAUUAGCUAGUUGGUGGGGUAAAGGCCUACCAAGGCGACGAUCCGUAACUGGUAUGAGAGGAUGAUCAGUCACACUGGAACUGAGACACGGUCCAGACUCCUAAGGGAGGCAGCAGUGGGGAAUAUUGGAACAUGGGCGAAAGCCUGAUCCAGGCAUGCCGCGUGUGUGAAGAAGGUCUUCGGAUUGUAAAGCACUUUAAGUUGGGAGGAAGGGCAGUAAGUUAAUACCUUGCUGUUUUGACGUUACCAAAAGAAUAAGCACCGGCUAACUUCGUG